UUCCACAGACUGAUUACAGUGACAAGUGAUGUGAGAAUGACAUUGAAAAACUACUGUGCUUAUCAUCCUUAGAGUACAGGCUUGGUGGAAAGAACAAAUGGUACUGUGAAAAGCAGACUAAAAAGUGUAUUGGAGGAACUGGUAGGCCCUGGACGCAAUGUUUAGACUUGGUAAAAUUAUACAUUAACAUUACAAGUACAUCAAAACUUACACCUUUUUAAACAUUAUUUGGAAGGCCGUACAGACUGCCACAUUUUAAAAAUCAAUGGGAAAUGGAUGAGGAAGCUAAUUUAGCUGAUUAUAUGAGAACCAUGUUAGAAAAACAGAGGCAAAAGGAAACUGAGGAUCCUCCUUUUGUGUCCCAGCAGGAAGAUCUAUUAGUGGAGCCUGGAGAUUGGGUGCUGAUAAGGAGCAUAAAGAAGAAACACUGGUAUUCUCCUAAGUGGGACGGGCCAUACCAGGUGCUGCUGACUACUCCCACAGCCAUAAAAAUAGCAGAAAGGUCAUUUCAGACCAGAAGUAAAAAAAAAAAAAGACAGAAUAAGUUCCGGAGGCUCACUGACCUACAGGGCAAAGGCCAGCGUACAAAGGGGGCCAAACCGAAUAGUUUGACCGUCUCAAAACUGGUGAAGAUUGUCCACAACCCUGGAGCAUCCUUAGGAGCCGAACGAACUUAAAUAUUACUGAAAUGGCGAAUAAAAAUAUUGUUUUUAUUUUAUGUUUUCAUCCUGGACUAAAUAGUAACUGGUUCUUAAUGGUAGAGCAGGCUGCUAAAUUAGUCAAGCAAGUUUGUAAAGUAUGUAUGGAACUAAGACUUCUACUAUGUGUAACCCCAGCAAACAUUAGAAAGCAACGCUUAUUGGAAGUGAUGAGUAAAACUAAUCCUAAUAGCACCUGCAGGAUUUAUGAUUCAAUAUUUACUCUUACUGUAGCUGAUGAAAAGAAACCUUUCUUUUCUAAAAACAUAGCUCCAGGAAAUUUCACAUGCAUCGACAUAACAGAGAGUGGGAAGAUAUUAGGAAAUCUUUCUGAUACAAUGUGUACUACCAUGUUUUUUGUAAACAAUGAUUUUAACCUUGUCUCUCAUGCAGACGUCUGGUGGUGGAGCGAUGAUGACAGGCUUUUUGAUAAGUUACCCUGAAAGGUUACGGGUUUCUGUGCUCUAGUUUCUUUAUUGCCUGUAUCUGUUUAUCCUAUGUCAGAAACCGAUCUAACACAUGUUCUGUCUUACCCUUUCCAGAAACGAGAGCUGUCAUGGGAACAUGUGCGUCUACAUACAUCCAUGCCAUCCGGGUCCCUCACCAAUUUUGACUGAUCAGGUUUUGAAUCUACAGUUUGUUGGUGGUGUACUGUAAACAGGGGCGUAGACGAGAUCAAUUUCAUUCAUUACAACGUGCCAAACUAGGUAACUGGAAACAGGCUGAGUUCGAGGCGGUUCAUGAGCAGCUGGCCGCUACUUCACUGAUGGCUUUCCAAAACUGUGUAGCUCUUGACAUGUUGCUAGCUGAGAAAGAGGUGGGUGUGUGUGUUAUCUUUGGAGAAAGAUGUUGUAUAUACCUGCCAGCCAACGCAGCAGCCGAUGGGAGCCUGGCGGAGGCCAUUACGGGGCACCGAACCCUGAAUGGCAAAAUGAAGGAAGCCUCUGGAGCAAACACCUCUAUGUGGGAUGCAUGGUUGGAGGUUGUUGGAAGGUACCGAACCCUUGUGUCCUCUGCUUUAGUAUCAAUGGCAGUCUUUGCUGCCAUUCUAACCUUGUGUGAAUGCCGUUGUACUUUUUGCCUGCGUUCUUUGUUUAACCGUAUCAUCACCACAGCAAUUUUGCCCAUGGAGGACCGGAUGGCACAGAUGUAUCCUUUGUUCGUAAAACAAGCUGAGUCUGAAACAGAAUCCUCUGCUGAGGAUUCCCCUUACGUGUAUUUAGAUCCUAGUUUUUGAACUGAGUACAACCCUUGAGAGUAAAAAUAUUUGCGUUCUUA